UCCCUGGUGGUCCAGUGGUUAAGACUCUGUGCUUUCAUUGCAGGGGGUAAAGGUUCAAUCCCUGAUCAGGGAA
rnacentral:tRNA from 1 species